UACGAAGGUGGCAAGCGUUACUCGGAAUUACUAGGCGUAAAGGGCAGGUAGGUGGUUCGAUAAGUCUGUUGUGAAAGCUCCCGGCUCAACUGGGAGAGGCCAACAGAUACUGUCGAGCUUGAGUAUAGGAGAGGUUACUGGAAUUCCCGGUGUAGCGGUGAAAUGCGCAGAGAUCGGGAGGAACACCAAUGGCGAAAGCAGGUAACUGGACUAUUACUGACACUCAGCUGCGAAAGCUAGGGGAGCAAAC
rnacentral:rRNA from 1 species